GGAUUUUUCCUUUUGGGAGCCCCUCUCUCUCACAGGGAGAGAGCUGUUCUCCUUUCUCUUUCUUCUUCCUAUUAAACCUCCACUCCUAAACUCACUCCUCUUGGGUGUCUAUAUCCUUAAUCUUCUUAGCGAGAGACGACAAACCCGGGGUAUUUACCCCAGACAACUACCCCGCUUCAUAUUGGGAAUCUCAGCCGGGAUCCCAAGGUACAUUCAUCGGAACGGCUACCACCUGAGGGGACACCUGCUCUGGGACUCAAAGAAUGGUAAAGAGACCUCCCAGAAUCAAUGAAUCACUUUUAGAGAAAAGAAAAGAAAAGAAAAGAAAAACUUUAAAAACACAAAGAAAAAAAAACCACAUUUUCCCCAAAUUUCACAUCAUAACCAACUAGAAGUGCAAACGUAAAUGAUGCUGGAAACAAGACUCUGGCAAGAAGGGCCUUCUGAGCAAGGUCAGCUUCUCCUCCCAACAGCUCUUUCUCCCAACAAUGCCAGUGGAUCUUUCAAAACUGCCACUGCUGCUGCUAAGCUCCAGAAGAGAGGUCUCUCAGCUUCCAAUGUCUUUAUCACAGCUCACUCUCUGGGUUCAUAUAUAUAUAUAUAUUUGUUCAUGACCUAAUCAGCAUCUUCAGUGGCUUUUUAAAUUAUCUACUGGAUUCUCUCAGUGUUGUCUUCAUCUGAAUGAAGCUGGAAACUCUGCCUGACAGCAUGCUUAUAAUGCUCCUGGAUGCCCUUGGUCAGCAGCUGCCAGCGGCAAAUGUCUGCAGAGCUGUAGCAGCCUCAAGACCAGCUCUGUCCCUGGUGGUAGCAGGAUCAUCUGCAAGAUCGUCUGCCCUCGCUUCGUGAAACCUCCUGUUAUGUCUAUAUUUGAGCCAUCCAUAAGAAUGCUUAAUCAGAUUAGAGCUAAGUACCCCACAGGGCAUGUGCAGGAACAAGUUCAAACAUUUAUAAAAAGCACUUGAUUGUACUGUUAUCCAGUACUUCUCAAUCUUCUCUACAAAAACUUGCUCUGUGCUUUUCUGAAACACAGGGACAUCAUAUACAGCUUCCCCCUGCCUCCAUGGGGGACACCAGCCCUGGACACUGCCACGCCAAUUAGUGUAUUUAAAUUUUUAACUCAUUUGGGUAAAUAGCAAUAAGCAUGAUUUCGGAAUUAUAUAUACAAGUAUGUUUAGUUUUGUGACAAACUGCCAAACUGUUUUCCAAAGUAGCUGUACCAUUUUGCAUUCCCAGCAGCAAUGAAUAAGAACUCCUGUUGCCCUACAUCCUUGCGAGCAUUCCAUGUUGUCAGGGUUCUGGUUUGGGCCAUUCUAAUAGGCAUGUAGUGAUAUUACAUUGUUUGUUUUAAUUUGGAUUUCCCUGAUGAUAUAUGGUGUAGAACAAUUUUUCCUAUGCUUAUUUUCCAUCUGUCUAUCUUUUUUGGUGAAGUGUCUGUUAAGGUAUUUGACCCGUAUUUUAAUAGGGAUGUUUUCGUAUUGUUGAGAUUUAGGUGAUCUUUGUAUAUUUUGGGUAAUAGUCCUUUACCAGGUAUAUCUUCUGUAAAUAUUUUCUUCCAGUCUAUGCCUUAUCUUUUCAUUCUUUUGACAGUUUCUUUUACAGAGCAGAAUUUUUUAAUUUUAACAAAGUCUAAUUCUUUUUAUCAUGGAUCUUGCCUUUGGUGUUAUUUCUAAAAAGUCAUCACAAUACCAAAAAUUUUCUCUGCUUAUCAUCUAGGAAUUUUAUUUUGCAGUUUAUAUUUAGGUCUGUUAUUAAUUUUGACUUACCUAUUUUUGAAGGGUGUAAAUGUCUUGUGUGCUGACAUCCAUUAUCCCAUACAUUCUGAUCUGUUUUACAUUAAAUCUUCUGUAUAUCUCUUUCUGAAAUUUGAGUCAAAGUUCCAGGAGGUGUUAUAUUUAUCUUUAAUUCCUUCUUCACCAUCAGACCCCUGCUUCCACCCUUGCCCAACCCCCACCACAUGGUCUAAUAUUAUUUUUCAUAACUGAACUGUAUUUUGGGUACAGGCUCUGACAAGUGCUUACUUAUGCUACAUUAUUUAAUUAUAACAAGAAUUCUAUUUUUUUUAGAUCUUAUUAUCCCUGGGGCAAAUAGAAUCCUAAAGUGGCCCCAAUGAUCCUCUCUCCCUAGUGCUAUUAUCCUGAAUAAUUCAUUUUCCUUUAAUGUGGGUGGAAACUAUGGCUUGCUUCUACGGAUAGUAUAUGGCAAAAGUGAAAGGAUUUUGCAGAUGUAAUUAAAGUUUCAGGUCAAUCAAAUAGAAGAUUAUCCUGAGAAGACCUGACCUAAGUGAAAUCUC
rnacentral:lncRNA from 1 species